rnacentral:rRNA from 1 species
UACGUAGGUGGCGAGCGUUGUCCGGAUUUACUGGGCGUAAAGCGUGCGCAGGCGGUUCGUUGUGUCGGCGGUGAAAGCCCCGGGCUCAACCUGGGAAUGGCCGUUGAAACUGGCGAACUGGAGUGUGGCAGAGGGGGGUGGAAUUCCGCGUGUAGCAGUGAAAUGCGUAGAGAUGCGGAGGAACACCGAUGGCGAAGGCAGCCCCCUGGGCUGACACUGACGCUCAGGCACGAAAGCGUGGGGAGCAAACAGG